AAGCGCUGGCGGCGUGCUUAAUACAUGCAAGUCAACGACUUUUAGAGUAGCAAUAUUUUAAAAGGAGUGGCGCACGGGUGAGUACACGUAGGUAAUCUGCCUUCAGGACUGACACAACUCGUCGAAAGACGGGCUAAUAUCAGAUAAUGCAGCGGCUCCGCAUGGAGACAGUUGUUAAAGUACAAGCGCCUGAAGAUGAGCCUGCGGUCCAUUAGCUAGUUGGUAGAGUAACAGCCUACCAAGGCAACGAUGGAUAGCUGGUCUGAGAGGAUGAUCAGCCACACUGGAACUGAGACACGGUCCAGACUCCUACGGGAGGCAGUAGUAAGGAAUAUUGCUCAAUGGCCGAAAGGCUGAAGCAGCAACGCCGCGUGAAGGAUGAAUGGCCUUUGGCCUGUAAACUUCUGUAAAAGGGAAAACAAUCAGGCAUGUCCUGAUUUGAUUGUACCCUUGAAGUAAGCCCCGGCUAACUACGUG
rnacentral:rRNA from 1 species